rnacentral:rRNA from 1 species
GAGUAACGCGUGGGUAACCUGCCCCAUACCGGGGGAUACCACCUGGAAACAGGUGCUAAUACCGCAUAAGCGCACGGUACUGCAUGGUACAGUGUGAAAAACUCCGGUGGUAUGGGAUGGACCCGCGUCUGAUUAGCCAGUUGGCGGGGUAACGGCCCACCAAAGCGACGAUCAGUAGCCGGCCUGAGAGGGUGAACGGCCACAUUGGGACUGAGACACGGCCCAAACUCCUACGGGAGGCAGCAGUGGGGAAUAUUGCACAAUGGGGGAAACCCUGAUGCAGCGACGCCGCGUGAGUGAAGAAGUAUUUCGGUAUGUAAAGCUCUAUCAGCAGGAACGAGACAAGACGGUACCUGACUAAGAAGCCCCGGCUAACUACGUG